rnacentral:rRNA from 1 species
AUUGAACGCUGGCGGCAGGCCUAACACAUGCAAGUCGAGCGGAUGAAGGGAGCUUGCUCCUGGAUUCAGCGGCGGACGGGUGAGUAAUGCCUAGGAAUCUGCCUGGUAGUGGGGGAUAACGUCCGGAAACGGGCGCUAAUACCGCAUACGUCCUGAGGGAGAAAGUGGGGGAUCUUCGGACCUCACGCUAUCAGAUGAGCCUAGGUCGGAUUAGCUAGUUGGUGGGGUAAAGGCCUACCAAGGCGACGAUCCGUAACUGGUCUGAGAGGAUGAUCAGUCACACUUGAACUGAGACACGGUGCAGACUCCUACGGGAGGCAGCAGUGGGGAAUAUUGGACAAUGGUCGAAAGCCUGACCCAGCCAUGCCGCGUGUGUGAAGAAGGUCUUCGGAUUGUAAAGCACUUUAAGUUGGGAGGAAGGGCAGUAAGUUAAUACCUUGCUGUUUUGACGUUACCAACAGAAUAAGCACCGGCUAACUUCGUG